GUCCCUGUAGCACAAGGAAUAGCGCCUUGGAAUUCUUAUCCGAAGGUCGUGGGUUUGAAUCCCCCCUGGGAUG